ACGCUCGACACCUACGGGAGGCAGCAGUGGGGAAUAUUGGGCAAUGGGCGCAAGCCUGACCCAGCAACGCCGCGUGAAGGAAGAAGGCCCUCGGGUUGUAAACUUCUUUUGACAGGGACGAAACAAAUGACGGUACCUGUCGAAUAAGCCACGGCUAACUACGUGCCAGCAGCCACGGUAAUCUGAGCGGGCUGGCAAGGC
rnacentral:rRNA from 1 species